rnacentral:rRNA from 1 species
UACAGAGGGGGCAAGCGUUGUUCGGAAUUACUGGGCGUAAAGGGCGCGUAGGCGGCCCGCUAAGUCGAACGUGAAAUCCCUGGGCUCAACCCAGGAACUGCGUCCGAUACUGGCGGGCUUGAAUCCGGGAGAGGGAUGUGGAAUUCCAGGUGUAGCGGUGAAAUGCGUAGAUAUCUGGAGGAACACCGGUGGCGAAGGCGGCAUCCUGGACCGGUAUUGACACUGAGGCGCGAAAGCCAGGGGAGCAAACGGG